AUUGCCCCUGUAACCUGUCAAAGAAGAGCUAAGGGAGCUUUCGAGGUUGGCUUCUUGGAGGCUGCUUUCUCCUUUACUUGGAAGGCUUCGCUAGUGAUGGACCCAUACGUGAUUCAGAUGAGCAGCAAAGGCAACCUCCCCUCAAUUCUGGACGUGCAUGUCAACGUUGGUGGGAGAAGCUCUGUGCCGGGAAAAAUGAAAGGCAGAAAGGCCAGGUGGUCUGUGAGGCCCUCAGACAUGGCCAAGAAAACUUUCAACCCCAUCCGAGCCAUUGUGGACAACAUGAAGGUGAAACCAAAUCCAAACAAAACCAUGAUUUCCCUGUCCAUUGGUGAGUUGGGGACACUACUGAGGGGCUGUCAUUGUCCUCCUCUACUCUCAUGUUCACAGGCUGGUUGGAGAAGAUGGCAGUUGGGGGUGAGUCUGAGUACUGAACAUGAGAGAAUAACCUCUUGGCUCCUUUUGUGUUUUCCUCCCAUAAAAAGGGGACCCUACUGUGUUUGGAAACCUGCCUACAGACCCUGAAGUUACCCAGGCAAUGAAAGAUGCUCUAGACUCGGGCAAAUAUAAUGGCUAUGCCCCAUCCAUCGGUAAGCUCCUCCUGCGACUCCAUACCUGGUGACUGCCAAAUCUUUAGUGCUCUUAUAACAGGACUAAAUGUCUAGCAAUCCUCUUCACUUUCCUGAUGCACAAUUCCUAAGGAGAGGCUAAGAUUACAUGGUCCUUUGGAUUUGGGAACUGGGUCUCGGGAUGCUUAAAUACAAGGCAUCAAGGUCCAACUUCUUUCCUGGCUUUCUUUGACAUAUGGGCACUUCCCCUCUAGGCUCCCAAACAUACUUAUUUGUCAAGUAAAGCUCCUAUCCUAUCAUUACUAAUUCUAAUCUGAAGGCCUUGAGUCUGGCAGGAGCUUUGUGUUUGCUGAGCCUCUAGGUCCUAAAUGGAUUUACUUAUUGCUCUGUGUAUAUAGCUCCUUUGCUUCAUUUCUGCUUCUCUAUGUAUUGAAGGCCUAUUGUCAUUAUGGUCCUGAGCACAUUGAAAUGCAAUUGUUACCAUUUAUGACUAACGGGUUUAAACAAACAAAUAAACAAACACCCAAGAACAUCAAAAAA
rnacentral:sRNA from 1 species